GUUGGUGAGGUAACGGCUCACCAAGGCGACGAUCCCUAGCUGGUCUGAGAGGAUGACCAGCCACACUGGAACUGAGACACGGUCCAGACUCCUACGGGAGGCAGCAGUGGGGAAUAUUGCACAAUGGGCGCAAGCCUGAUGCAGCCAUGCCGCGUGUAUGAAGAAGGCCUUCGGGUUGUAAAGUACUUUCAGCGGGGAGGAAGGUGUUGUGGUUAAUAACC
rnacentral:rRNA from 1 species